rnacentral:rRNA from 1 species
UGGGGAAUUUUGGACAAUGGGCGAAAGCCUGAUCCAGCAAUGCCGCGUGUGUGAAGAAGGCCUUCGGGUUGUAAAGCACUUUUGUCCGGAAAGAAAUCCUUGGCUCUAAUACAGUCGGGGGAUGACGGUACCGGAAGAAUAAGCACCGGCUAACUACGUGCCAGCAGCCGCGGUAAUACGUAGGGUGCAAGCGUUAAUCGGAAUUACUGGGCGUAAAGCGUGCGCAGGCGGUUUGCUAAGACCGAUGUGAAAUCCCCGGGCUCAACCUGGGAACUGCAUUGGUGACUGGUAGGCUAGAGUAUGGCAGAGGGGGGUAGAAUUCCACGUGUAGCAGUGAAAUGCGUAGAGAUGUGGAGGAAUACCGAUGGCGAAGGCAGCCCCCUGGGCCAAUACUGACGCUCAUGCACGAAAGCGUGGGGAGCAAACAGGAUUAGAUACCCUGGUAGUCCCACGCCCUAAACGAUGUCAACUGGGUUUGUUGGGAAGGUUCCUUCUCAGUAACGUAGCUAACGCGUGAAGUUGACCGCCUGGGGAGUACGGCCGCAAGG